UACGUAGGUGGCGAGCGUUGUCCGGAUUUACUGGGCGUAAAGGGAGCGUAGGCGGACUCUUAAGUGAGAUGUGAAAUACUCGGGCUCAACUUGAGUGCUGCAUUUCAAACUGGAAGUCUAGAGUGCAGGAGAGGAGAAUGGAAUUCCUAGUGUAGCGGUGAAAUGCGUAGAGGUUAGGAAGAACACCAGUGGCGAAGGCGAUUCUCUGGACUGUAACUGACGCUGAGGCUCGAAAGCGUGGGGAGCAAACAGG
rnacentral:rRNA from 1 species